rnacentral:rRNA from 1 species
AUUGAACGCUGGCGGCAUGCUUUACACAUGCAAGUCGAACGGCAGCGCGGGCUUCGGCCUGGCGGCGAGUGGCGAACGGGUGUGUAAUACAUCGGAACGUGCCCAGUAGUGGGGGAUAGCUUGGCGAAAGCCGGUUUAAUACCGCAUACGACCUGAGGGUGAAAGCGGGGGAUCUUCGGACCUCGCGCUAUUGGAUCGGCCGAUGGCAGAUUAGCUAGUUGGUGGGGUAAAGGCCUACCAAGGCGACGAUCUGUAGCUGGUCUGAGAGGACGACCAGCCACACUGGGACUGAGACACGGCCCAGACUCCGACGGGAGGCAGCAGUGGGGAAUUUUGGACAAUGGGCGAAAGCCUGAUCCAGCAAUGCCGCGUGUGUGAUGAAGGCCUUCGGGUUGUAAAGCACUUUUGGCGGGAACGAAAAGGACUGUGCCAAUACCACGGUUCGAUGACGGUACCCGCAGAAUAAGCACCGGCUAACUACGUG